AGCGUAGGCGGCGUGGUAAGUCAGAUGUGAAAUCCCGGGGCUCAACCCCGGAACUGCAUCCGAUACUGCCGUGCUAGAGGAUUGGAGAGGUAGCUGGAAUUCUUGGUGUAGCAGUGAAAUGCGUAGAGAUCAAGAGGAACACUCGUGGCGAAAGCGAGCUACUGGACAAUAUCUGACGCUGAGGCUCAAGGCUAGGGUAGCGAAAG
rnacentral:rRNA from 1 species